rnacentral:lncRNA from 10 species
GCCAGUGAGCUGUGAGCAGAGCCCAGCUCAGGGAGGGGCAGUGGAGCCACACUCAGGGCUGGCAGGCCCUCACUGGGUGUGAAGAUGCCCUGGGUUUCCAAGUUUCCAAUCACGCUGGUGUUUAGCCAAGGGCGACCCCAAAAGAAGCCCCAGCCCUGAAGAAAGAUGGGUCCUGAGGCCACACUCAACAUCCCUGCCCUGCACUGGGCUCCUCUCUUGGGUAUCCUCUUUCUAAGCAGCAACAUCUGGCAUGGACUGAAAGUUGAAUUGUGAAAAUGAAAAUGCCUCUCUAUUGGUUUUAUGAUCAUCCCUUGUGUAAGUCACAUUACGAGAGCUGCUUUUGGCGUGGUCUCUAAUUCCUCACCACUUCUUUGUCUUGCAUCCUGCUCCAUGGCCUUCCUCCCAAGCCAUUCUACCGAUGACCCUGGCCUUGAACCCUCACAUUGUCAAAUCCACACUCCCCACUCCCUCAGCAGCAUCACCCUGGGUGACGACACACGUAGCCUUCCUAAGGCCUUUGUGACCCCAUUCUGUGUGGCUUACCCCUUCCUUCUCAGACUCGGUGAGACUUGUUCCAUCUUCCCAAGGUUCCCGAACUCUGUGGGCCCUCGUCUUAUCUCCCCGGCCAGCCCAUCCAUCACGUGACCUCCAGCACUGUGGCCUGUGUGUGCCAGGCCCUCCAAGGAGCUCAGGUUCUGCCCUUCAGCCUCGACCUCUCCCUGGGCCCUCGGCCUGGUUACCUGACUGUCCACUUGAGAGCUCAGCAGGGAUGUCCAGCAGCAAGGAAAGGUCAGGUGAGGACCCCGACCACGCUGCCACCUUCAUCUCGGACUUCUGGCUUCCAGAGCACAAGGAGGGAGUGUUUGCUGUUUAAGCCAUCCAGUCUAUGGUACUUUGUUACAGCAGCCUAAACUGACCAAGACAUCCCUCUUCUGUAUGGCAGAAUUAUUAUCAGUCAUAGUCAAGAGAUAAAACUUAUAAUCAUGUCCAGAAAAAAAAAUGCAGAGUGUAAAGUGUCUUAAAUUGAACUUUGUAUGUAUAAUCAUGGCAUGAUAAAAGUGAAUACUUUUUUUUUUUUUCUUUGAGAUGGAGUUUCACUCUUGUUGCCCAGGCUGGAGUGCAGUGGCGCGAUCUUGGCUCACUGCAACCUCCGCCUCCCGGGUUCAAGCAAUUCUCCUGCCUCUGCCUCCCAGGUAGCUGGGACUACAGGUGCCUGCCACCACACCUGGCUAAUUUUUGUAUUUUUAGUAGAGACGGGGUUUCACCAUGUUGGCCAGGAUAGUCUCAAUCUUUUGACCUCGUGAUCCGCCUGCCUCCGCCUCCCAAAGUGCUGGGAUUACAGGCGUGAGCCACCGCGCCCGGCAUUUUCAUUUUUAAAGAUAGUAUUUAAAAUCAGUAAUAUUUCAUGUAUGAACUAAUAUGUAUAUUUGUCAAACAAAAAAUGUUAUACCUUGAAGUUCACAGUUUUAUCACUUUACAUAUUUUAAACACAAAUAAACAUCCCAAGUGGUCCCAUAGACUGACAGAGUUGAAGUAACUGAUGUUCUGUUUCCUCGUCUUUAUUUUGUUUUCGGUUUUUUUUUUUUUUUUGAGACAGGGUCUUCCUCUGUUGUCCAGGCUGGAGUGCAGUGGUGCAGUCAUAGCUCACUGCAGCCUCAAAUUCCUAGGCUCAAGUGAUUCUUCUACCUCAGCCUCCGCUACCAUACCUGGAUAAUUUUUAUUUUUAUUUUUGCAGAGAUGAUGUCUUACUGUAUUGCCCAGGCUG